rnacentral:rRNA from 1 species
CCCUAGUAACUGCGAGUGAAGCGGGAAAAGCUCAAAUUUAAAAUCUGGUGGUCUUUGGCCAUUCGAGUUGUAAUUUAGAGAAGCGUCUUCCGCGCUGGACCGUGCACAAGUCUCCUGGAAUGGAGCGUCGUAGAGGGUGAGAAUCCCGUCUUUGGCAUGGACACACCAGGGCUUUCGUGAUGCGCUCUCGAAGAGUCGAGUUGUUUGGGAAUGCAGCUCAAAAUGGGUGGUGAACUCCAUCUAAAGCUAAAUAUUGGCGAGAGACCGAUAGCGAACAAGUACCGUGAGGGAAAGAUGAAAAGCACUUUGGAAAGAGAGUGAAACAGUACGUGAAAUUGUUGAAAGGGAAACGCUUGAAGUCAGUCGCGUCGACCGAGACUCAGCCUCGCCUCGGCUUGGUGUACUUCUCGGCUGACGGGUCAGCAUCAAUUUUUGCCCCUUGGAUAAUGGCGGGGGAAAUGUGACACCUUUACGGUGUGUUAUAGUCUCUUGUCGCAUGCAAGGGUCGGGAUUGAGGAACUCAGCACGCGCCUUUGGGCGUCGGGGCUUUGCCCACGAUACGUGCUUAGGAUGUUGGCGUAAUGGCUUUAAACGACCCGUCUUGAAACACGGACCAAGGAGUCUAACAUGCCUGCGAGUGUUCGGGUGGAAAACCCGUGCGCGCAAUGAAAGUGAAAGUUGGGACCUCUGUCGUGGAGGGCACCGACGCCCGGACCAGACCUCCUGUGACGGCUCUGCGGUAGAGCAUGUAUGUUAGGACCCGAAAGAUGGUGAACUAUGCCUGAAUAGGGUGAAGCCAGAGGAAACUCUGGUGGAGGCUCGUAGCGAUUCUGACGUGCAAAUCGAUCGUCAAAUUUGGGUAUAGG